CACCAAUCAAGCCUGGCUUGGUAUUGGGCGACGGGGCCGUCACACGCCUCGCGCCUCAAUGACUCUCCGGCGGGACGGACCGAAUCUCAGCGUUGUGAUCAAAAGCCGCUGGCGAGACGGGACGCCCGUGCCGUUAAACAACCCCAUCAAA
rnacentral:misc_RNA from 1 species